rnacentral:rRNA from 1 species
AGAGUUUGAUCCUGGCUCAGAUUGAACGCUGGCGGCAUGCCUUACACAUGCAAGUCGAACGCGAAAGGGCAACCCCGAGUAGAGUGGCGAACGGGUGAGCAAUACAUCGGAACACGUCCUGUAGCGGGACAACCCCGAGAAAUCGGGGCUAAUACCGCAUACGAUCCAAGGAUGAAAGUGGGGGACCGCAAGGCCUCACACUAUAGGAGUGGCCGAUGCCGGAUUAGCUAGUUGGCGGGGUAAUAGCCCACCAAGGCUACGAUCCGUAGCUGGUUUGAGAGAACGAGCCACACUGGGACUGAGACACGGCCCAGACUCCUACGGGAGGCAGGGGGAAUUUUGGACAAUGGGCGAAAGCCUGAUCCAGCCAUGCCGCGUGAGUGAAGAAGGCCUUCGGGUUGUAAAGCUCUUUCGGCGGGGACGAAAUAGCGCGGGGUAAUAUCCCGCGUCGAUGACGGUACCCGAAGAAGAAGGACCGGCUAACUACGUGCCAGCAGCCGCGGUAAUACGUAGGGUCCAAGCGUUAAUCGGAAUUACUGGGCGUAAAGCGUGCGUAGGCGGUUUCGCAAGUCCGAUGUGAAAUCCCCGGGCUUAACCUGGGAACUGCGUUGGAAACUACGAAGCUAGAGUGCGGCAGAGGGGGGUAGAAUUCCACGUGUAGCAGUGAAAUGCGUAGAUAUGUGGAGGAAUACCGAUGGCGAAGGCAGCCCCCUGGGUCGAUACUGACGCUCAUGCACGAAAGCGUGGGGGAGCAAACAGGAUUAGAUACCCUGGUAG